rnacentral:piRNA from 1 species
UAUGGAGCAGAUUGCUUCCUUUGUACAUGC